rnacentral:rRNA from 1 species
GGCAGCAGUGGGGAAUCUUGCACAAUGGAGGAAACUCUGAUGCAGCGAUGCCGCGUGAGUGAAGAAGGCCCUUGGGUUGUAAAGCUCUUUCGUCGGGGAAGAAAAUGACUGUACCCGAAUAAGAAGGUCCGGCUAACUUCGUGCCAGCAGCCGCGGUAAUACGAAGGGACCUAGCGUAGUUCGGAAUUACUGGGCUUAAAGAGUUCGUAGGUGGUUGAAAAAGUUGGUGGUGAAAUCCCAGAGCUUAACUCUGGAACUGCCAUCAAAACUUUUCAGCUAGAGUAUGAUAGAGGAAAGCAGAAUUUCUAGUGUAGAGGUGAAAUUCGUAGAUAUUAGAAAGAAUACCAAUUGCGAAGGCAGCUUUCUGGAUCAUUACUGACACUGAGGAACGAAAGCAUGGGUAGCGAAGAGGAUUAGAUACCCUCGUAGUCCAUGCCGCAAACGAUGUGUGUUAGACGUUGGAAAUUUAUUUUCAGUGUCGCAGCGAAAGCGAUAAACACACCGCCUGGGGAGUACGACCGCAAGGUUAAAACUCAAAUGAAUUGACGG